rnacentral:rRNA from 1 species
UUCGGAUUGUAGGCUGCAACUCGCCUACAUGAAGUCGGAGUUGCUAGUAAUCGCGGAUCAGAAUGCCGCGGUGAAUGCGUUCCCGGGUCUUGUACACACCGCCCGUCACACCAUGGAAGUUGGGGGCGCCCGAAGUUGCCUAAGAAAUAAGGUACCUAAGGCGAAACCAAUGACUGGGGUGAAGUCGUAACAAGGUAUC